rnacentral:miRNA from 3 species
ACUUGGGCCAAGGGAAUGCAAACU